rnacentral:rRNA from 1 species
AACCCUCGACCUUAGUUGCCAGCAUUCAGUUGGGCACUCUAAGGUGACGUGCCGGCUAAAAGUCGGAGGAAGGUGGGGAUGACGUCAAAUCAUCAUGCCCCUUAUGACCUGGGCUACACACGUGCUACAAUGGGCGGUACAAAGGGUCGCGAACCCGCGAGGGGGAGCCCAAAUCCCAAAAAGCCGCUCUCAGUUCGGAUUGCAGGCUGCAACUCGCCUGCAUGAAGCCGGAAUCGCUAGUAAUCGCGGAUCAGCAUGCCGCGGUGAAUACGUUCCCGGGCCUU